rnacentral:rRNA from 1 species
UACGUAGGGGGCAAGCGUUGUCCGGAUUUAUUGGGCGUAAAGAGCGUGUAGGCGGCCACACAGGUCAGCUGUGAAAACUCGAGGCUCAACCUCGAGACGUCGGUUGAAACCGUAUGGCUAGAGUCCGGAAGAGGAGAGUGGAAUUCCCGGUGUAGCGGUGAAAUGCGAAGAUAUCGGGAAGAACACCCGUGGCGAAGGCGGCUCUCUGGGACGGUACUGACGCUGAGACGCGAAAGCGUGGGGAGCGAACAGG